UGCGUAGGUGGUCGGAUAAGUCUGAUGUGAAAUCUCCGAGCUCAACUCGGAAAUGGCAUCGGAUACUAUUUGGCUCGAGGAUUGGAGGGGGGACUGGAAUUCUCGGUGUAGCAGUGAAAUGCGUAGAUAUCGAGAGGAACACCAGUGGCGAAGGCGAGUCCCUGGACAAUUCCUGACACUGAGGCACGAAAGCUAGGGGAGCAAACA
rnacentral:rRNA from 1 species